rnacentral:misc_RNA from 1 species
GAUGAAGAACGCAGCGAAAUGCGAUAAGUAAUGUGAAUUGCAGAAUUCAGUGAAUCAUCGAAUCUUUGAACGCACAUUGCGCCCGUCAGUAUUCUGGCGGGCAUGCCUGUUCGAGCGUCAUUACGCCCCUCAAGUCCCCUGUGGACUUGGUGUUGGGGAUCGGCGAGGCUGGUUUUCCAGCACAGCCGUCCCUUAAAUUAAUUUGCGGUCUCGCCGUGGCCCUCCUCUGCGCAGUAGUAAAACACUCGCAACAGGAGCCCGGCGCGGUCCACUGCCGUAAAACCCCCCAACUUUUUAUAGUUGACCUCGAAUCAGGUAGGACUACCCGCUGAACUUAAGCAUAUCAAUAAGCGGAGGA